GUCGCAUGCUCCCGGCCGCCAUGGCGGCGGCGGAAAUUCGAUUAGAGUUUGAUCAUGGCUCAGAAUCAACGCUGGCGGCGUGCCUCAGACAUGCAAGUCGAACGAUUAAAGCUCUCUUCGGAGAGUGUAUAGAGUGGCGCACGGGUGAGUAACACGUAAGUAAUCUACCUUCGAGUGGGGAAUAACGUCCGGAAACGGACGCUAAUACCGCAUAAUGCAGCGGCAUCUUAUGAUGACAGUUGUUAAAGGAGCAAUUCGCUUGAAGAGGAGCUUGCGGCAGAUUAGCUAGUUGGUAAGGUAAUGGCUUACCAAGGCUACGAUCUGUAACCGGUCUAAGAGGACGGUCGGUCACACUGACACUGAAUAACGGGUCAGACUCCUACGGGAGGCAGCAGUCGGGAAUUUUGGGCAAUGGGCGAAAGCCUGACCCAGCAACGCCGCGUGAAGGAUGAAGUAUUUCGGUAUGUAAACUUCGAAAGAAUGGGAAGAAUCAAUGACGGUACCAUUUAUAAGGUCCGGCUAACUACGUGCCAGCAGCCGCGGUAAUACGAAUCACUAGUGAAUUCGCGGCGCCUGCAGGUCGACCAUAUGGGAGAGCUCCCAAC
rnacentral:rRNA from 1 species